rnacentral:rRNA from 1 species
AUGUUUCUUCUCCUCAGCGAGUUUAUUAUUUUUCAUAGACCUCAUGGAGCAGAGUACCGAGGGCUGAGGAGACAAGUGCUGGAGAGGGUGGCAUGCAUCAGGAUGAGGGAAGAAAGUGCUGGAGGAUGUAAACAUUUGGAGGAACAUGUAUAUAGUGGUUCUUUGUGGAAAAAAAUGUAUAGAGUGGUUGGUGUAUACGUCCUUUUUGUGAUCAUAAUAAAUGAAGUGCAUUCUGGUGCUAUGGUUGUGACUAAAGAUGUUAGCGGCAGAAGCAAUUGCUACGUAAGUGUGAAUAACCUGGUGUGGUGUCUCUUUUGA